rnacentral:rRNA from 1 species
GGAUAACAUGCCCUAAGGUGGGGGAUAAUCUCGGGAAACUGAGGGUAAUACCCCAUAGGUCUGAUGUGCUGGAAUGCUUUCAGGCCGAAAACUCCGGUGCCUUAGGAUUGGUCUGCGGUCUAUCAGGCAGUAGUGGGUGUAACGGACCCACUAGCCCGUGACGGAUAUGGGCCUUGAGAGAGGGAGCCCAGAGAUGGACUCUGAGACAUGAGUCCAGGCCCUACGGGGCGCAGCAGUCGCGAAAACUUCGCAAUGGGGGCAACCCCGACGAGGGAAUUCCAAGUGCUAGCACUUUGUGUUAGCUGUUCUUCUGUCUAAAAAACAGGAGGAGUAAGGGGCGGGUAAGACGGGUGCCAGCCGCCGCGGUAAUACCCGCGCCCCAAGUGGUGGUCGAUAUUAUUGAGCCUAAAACGUCCGUAGCCGGUCUUCUAAAUCCUUGGGUAAAUCGGGCAGCUUAACUGUCCGAAGUCCGGGGAGACUGGGAGACUUGGGACCGGGAGAGGUCAGAGGUACUUCUGGGGUAGGGGUAAAAUCCUGUAAUCCUGGAAGGACUACCGGUGGCGAAGGCGUCUGACUAGAACGGAUCCGACGGUGAGGGACGAAGCCCUGGGGCGCAAACGGGAUUAGAUACCCCGGUAGUCCAGGGUGUAAACGCUGCGGGCUUGGUGUUGGGGGUCCUUAGUGGGCGCCCAGUGCCGGAGAGAAGUUGUUAAGCCUGCUGCUUGGGGAGUAUGUCCGCAAGGAUGAAACUUAA